rnacentral:rRNA from 1 species
AUUGAACGCUGGCGGCAUGCCUUACACAUGCAAGUCGAACGGCAGCACGGGUGCUUGCACCUGGUGGCGAGUGGCGAACGGGUGAGUAAUACAUCGGAACGUACCUUAUCGUGGGGGAUAACGCAGCGAAAGCUGUGCUAAUACCGCAUACGCCCUGAGGGGGAAAGCGGGGGAUCGAAAGACCUCGCGCGAUUAGAGCGGCCGAUGCCUGAUUAGCUUGUUGGUGGGGUAAAAGCCCACCAAGGCGACGAUCAGUAGCUGGUCUGAGAGGACGAGCAGCCACACUGGGACUGAGACACGGCCCAGACUCCUACGGGAGGCAGCAGUGGGGAAUUUUGGACAAUGGGGGCAACCCUGAUCCAGCAAUGCCGCGUGAGUGAAGAAGGCCUUCGGGUUGUAAAGCCCUUUUGUCAGGGAAGAAACACCGGCUCUAACACAGUCCGGGAAUGACGGUACCUGAAGAAUAAGCACCGGCUAACUACGUGCCAGCAGCCGCCGUAA